GCUACUGGCUAGGAACCAGCUGUCGAGUGUAUUUUGAUGACGAAUUAUGGCGUGGCAGCGUCAGCGUUUACGCUUUUUUGGCUCAGUCGACCUUCUGUGAUGUUCCUAUUCUGUGAUUUUGUGUUUCCCCGACGAUUUUUCGAACAAAUCCGAACGCAUUGUGGGUGAUGUAUUUUUGCUGUGUUUUGAAAUUUUUGCACGUGAAAAUUGAAUAGCUUGAAAAAUUCACAAUUUUAUUUAGUAAAUGUAACUUUGAACGCUUUCGUAGCAUUCUUGGGAGUUAAAAUUACAUGGAGAGUUAGUAUUUUGGUGUCUAAACCAUUUAUAUGGCGUAGAAGUUGGAUUUUGACACCAGUUAGACGGUCAAGUUGCAAUUUUUCCACGUGAAAGAAUCUACAGUAAAAUGUUUGGGUGUGUUGUGUCUGGUCGACUGGUGAGUUACUUAAAUUGUAGAAUUACU